rnacentral:lncRNA from 1 species
GAAAGGAUCAGUAACGAGGGGGUCUGCAUUUGGAAAGGAAGGGACAGUGUGAAAUGUUACAUUCCUCUCUCAGUUGGGCACUGGAGACCUGGGAGAGAUGACUCUGGACGAUUUCAUGUCAUACUGUUGGUUUUCACGAGCCAUGAAGCACACAAGUCCAGGUCACAGAUGGGUGGUCACAGUGAGCCAUGCUUCCAGUUCCAGGAUCUCACUUGGCCAGGAUGAUGGAUGGGUGCGUAGGGAAGACUGAACUUCACCUUUCCAGAGGCCACCACGGACCGGGCUAAACCAAGCCGAGAUUAAAAACAAACUCGCAUGAACCGUGUUAUAAUAACAGUAACAAGAAUUUGGGGGGAAAAAAAAGCACCCAGAAUCCCAAUGUACC